GACGAACGCUGGCGGCGUGCCUAAUACAUGCAAGUAGAACGCUGAAGAGAGGAGCUUGCUCUUCUUGGAUGAGUUGCGAACGGGUGAGUAACGCGUAGGUAACCUGCCUUGUAGCGGGGGAUAACUAUUGGAAACGAUAGCUAAUACCGCAUAACAAUGGAUGACACAUGUCAUUUAUUUGAAAGGGGCAAUUGCUCCACUACAAGAUGGACCUGCGUUGUAUUAGCUAGUAGGUGAGGUAAUGGCUCACCUAGGCGACGAUACAUAGCCGACCUGAGAGGGUGAUCGGCCACACUGGGACUGAGACACGGCCCAGACUCCUACGGGAGGCAGCAGUAGGGAAUCUUCGGCAAUGGGGGCAACCCUGACCGAGCAACGCCGCGUGAGUGAAGAAGGUUUUCGGAUCGUAAAGCUCUGUUGUAAGUCAAGAACGGGUGUGAGAGUGGAAAGUUCACACUGUGACGGUAGCUCACCAGAAAGGGGCGGCUAACUACGUG
rnacentral:rRNA from 1 species